rnacentral:pre_miRNA from 1 species
AGGGUAAGCCAUGCUGGAGAAGCAGGGCACAUGCUAAAUCUAUUAGGCAAAAAUAUUGUCUUUUAUUUUGCAUGUGCCUUGGCUCUCCAUCUUGGAAACUC